CACGGUUGGAUGUGCAUGCUGUUGUACAGAUUAUUAUAUGGAUGCUCGUUGUUUGUCACCAAUCCUAUUGAUCAUGAAAAUAUUUUUUUUUGGGAUUACGUAUGUACAUGUUAUGAUUUUUUGAAUUAAAUAAAUGUAGAGGGUUGCAUACUCUGUGUUUCGGGUAACCAACCACUAUUGGUUAGACGGGUGAUGGCUGAAAAUUAUUUUUGUGGCAAGGGUUAUACGCUGUGUGUAUCGGUAACCAACCACCAAUGGUCACUAAGGAGUGAUUGUUGAAAAUUACUUUUGUAGCAAGGAUGACACUGUGUAUAUCGGUAAGGGCAACGUUAUAGCAUGGGAGUGACGAGCAAGGUAGAAAGGACGGUCAUGGGAUAACUCAAAGUUUUAUGUUUUAAUUUACUAUUUAAGACGUUUCCACAUUGACCUGAUUCUAUUACUUUAGGUUUUGUUAGAACACCGCUCAUGUCAUUUUCUUAUCUUAAAUUAUUUAGAAAAGGGUACCCCGAGCACGAUUUUGAAAA